AGGAUCAUUGUCGAAACCUGCCUAGCAGAAGGAUCGUAGAGUUGAUUGCAUCCCUUGGGGAUCGUUUGUACUUUGCGCCCCACGCCGAAGCCCCGUCUCGUCGGUGCGCGCACUCGUGGUAGUAGGUGGCCCCCUUCUUUGGGAGCCACUAGCUUGCCAAAUCACCCGAGCGCGGUAUGCGCCAAGGAACUUAAAACUGAAUUGUACGUCUGCAUCCCGGUAGCGGGCAGCGGCGUCUUUCCAAAACACAACGACUCUCGACAACGGAUAUCUCGGCUCUCGCAUCGAUGAAGAACGUAGCGAAAUGCGAUACUUGGUGUGAAUUGCAGAAUCCCGUGAACCAUCGAGUCUUUGAACGCAAGUUGCGCCCGAAGCCAUUAGGCUGAGGGCACGUCUGCCUGGGUGUCACGCAUUCACUUGCCCAUAACCUCACACUCCUUGAGGAGCUGUGUUGGUUUGGGGGCGGAAAUUGGCCUCCCAUGCCUUCUAGCGUGGUUGGCAAAAAAGCGAGUCUCCGGCUACGGACGUCGUGACAUUGGUGGUUGUAAAAGACCCUCUUGUCUUGUCGGGCGAAUCCGGGUCAUCUUAGCGAGCUCCAGGACCCUUAGGCGGCGCACACAAUGUGCGCUUCGACUGUGACCCCAGGUCAGGCGGGACUACCCGCUGAG
rnacentral:rRNA from 1 species